rnacentral:rRNA from 1 species
GUAACAAGGUAUCCGUAGGUGAACCUGCGGAUGGAUCAUUACCGUAGAGACGGAGGUUUGCAGACGUCCAAAAGACUGAUCUGCGAUCUCCUGUCCAACCACACUUUGUGAUCUGUUGUAAAAAACUCAAUGGGCUUUUUGCUCAUAACAUUCUCAACUCUUCCGCUUAACUUAAAAUGUCUGAUCUUAAACAAAUUCUUAAUAAGAAACAACUUUUGACAACGGAUCUCUUGGCUCUCGCAACGAUGAAGAACGCAGCGAAAUGCGAUACGUAAUGUGAAUUGCAGAAUUCCGUGAAUCAUCGAAUCUUUGAACGCAUAUUGCGACCUUCUGGUAUUCCAGGAGGUAUGCCUGUUUGAGAAUCGUGACUACCCUCACACCCCAAUUUUGGGGGGUGGACUUGAGUUUUCCCACGGUCUUAGUUUCUUUAACCAAGAGCUUCGACGGCAUGGGUAACUUGAAAUACAGGUAAGCCUUGAACCAAGCACCUGUUUAAACCGGUGAAAAGGCGUGAUAAAACGUGUCCCUUUGUGGAUCCAAGUAUAUCCUCGCUACAAGUAACCACAGGUUAGUUUGAAAGUUCAAUGUGCUUGCAAACGCAGGAAAUGAAAGGAUGGGUUUAAAACAUCCACCUUUUGUGUACUGAAUCUCAAAUCAGGCAAGACUACCCGCUGAACUUAAGCAUAU